CAGCAGUAGCGGCCCUUCUCUUUCACCCAGGAUUUCUGGAGGGCAGGCUGCAGCAGCAGAGCAGCGGUGCUCCAGGGAAGCAGGCAUGGGGAGUGCCUUGGUGCCUACAGUAGAGCUGAACACAUCUUAUAGCAGAGUCGUGUGCAGCCACACUUCUGGAAGACCCAAAGAUGCAAUUACAAGCCUCCUUUAUGAGCAGAAGAGGUUUCAUGUUUUCCUUUUUUCACCUGUUUCCCAAACAAAAUUCAGCAGAAAAUUUACAUGACUGACCAUGCAUAUCAUGGCAAGUUUAUCCCAGCACUACUAUAAGACCAAACAAGCACUACAAGGAAGCAUCUGAGGCAGCUUCUACGUGAAACCACCACUUCAGCCUCUUUACUACCCAAAAAACUGUGCUGCUCAAUCUUUCAACCACUGCCCCUCAAAAGCACUGCUUUUCUUUGUCUGGUCUAUUUGUGACACAACUAAGAUCAGAACCAGGGCAUUUGGGCACUCUCGGAGUACAUUGGUGUUUGCUUUCAACUGAAUGGCCUCAUCAACCUGAGUUUUAAACCAGAUCCCUCACAAAGAUGGGCCCAUGCUGUAUCCAUUCCUGGGAAGCCUUGAAGACUCAACAUCAUUACCAGGGCUCUCUGCCCCACUGAGAAUGAGUGAAAUGUAAACCCACUUGCAUCUAGGAAAGCACAUCAGAUUUUCCCUAACCUUCAGUCUAUAAUUAUUUUUCCCUAUUUCUUUGGAAAUAUAGGCCUUUUAAUGUCAUUCCUGAUUUUUGGCCUUUUCCCAUUCUCCUUGAUUUUAUUAAUUUGCCUGAAACUCCCAUUUGUUUUAUAUUCGUAUUGUCUUGUCUGUCUUUACCUAAACAAGAAUGAAUUAUUUAUGAGAAAAUUAGAGAUAACUCUUAUAUUCUGCUUUUAGUAAAGCUUAUUCAGUCAAACCUAUUACACAAGGAUAAAGAUACUUCUGUAAAGGCAAAACCAUCUGUUUACAUUCAGGAAACACGCAUCUGCUUCAGAAUAUAUUCUCGGUUUCAUCAACCAGCACCAUUACUGUGAUCCCACAACUAUAUCCUGUGCCAAAAGAAUUGAGAGGGGUGAAAUACGACUGAAACCACAAAUAUCAAAAAAGGUAGUUAAUAGUGCAUCUCCAGCAGCACAUUAGCGACCCAUUCUGGGGCACCAGUUCUGUACAAAACAACCACAACAAUUUGUUUUAAGCUUUAUUUUACAGUAUUGUCUCACUCUGGUACAAAGUCUCAUAUUGUUUGGUUUGUGAAAUCUUACAUGAUCACUUUUAGAGCGAUAGCUCCAGACUGCAGUAAAACAAACCCUUCUUCAUAUACAUCUCACUGAUAAAGCUUAAUUCAAUUAAACUGGCCAUUAAGAUUAGUGUAAAUUGAAUUGCUCUAUUUCAGACUAGCUGAUAAUCAUUUGACACACACGAAUAAAUACGGUGUUUCCAAACAGAAUGACUUAUGGUGCUCAGUUGGACACUGUUCCCCUCUCUUGUUCUUCACCUCCAACACAUCAAAGAAAUUACACAAUAAUUUGCUCUAGUAUGCUUGUCAGAGCUUUGCUGGUUUGAUCCUGUUUAAUUAAACACUCCUGAGUCUGUAUACAGAAAGCAAGUUGCAAGUGUUCAGUAUGACAGUACAAACUGACAUAACAUCUAAGGCGUGGAUGGUAAAAUACACUAAAAUAGUCAUAAUUUCAGUUACAAUUAUACAAAAAUCGAUGCAGAGAUAGGACCUGAAUCCAAGCUCAGAAAAGAUUCAUGAAAGAACAGAAUCAGAGGCUAAUCUGCAUUGUUAAGGGUUUUAAUCUUUAAAAGAAAAGUAAUCACACAGUGAUAAAAGGGGGUUUUCCCUUACUAUUCUCAAAUUUUUGGCCUAUCCAGAGGACGGGAACAGUUAUUUUUGUACUGCAAGAAAAUAGGUUUGUGGAAAUAACAAACAAAUGUUAUUAUGAGUUUUAGAAGAAUGAUUCCUAAUUCAUUGAAUACUAGUAAUCUUUAAAAAUAAAUUAAAUAUAAGGAAUGAUGAAAUUAGUAAUUAAUUAAAAUAUUUUCUUAAUCAGUAAGACUUUGAGCCUAUGCUGUGGAAACUAGUAAGGAGGUAAUAAAAUCAAUAUGAACUUGGUCAAACUUUGCUUUAUUUGCAGUCUCCUUUCAGAAACUCAUAUUUGGAAUACAAGGAUUGUUAUUAAUCUAAAAUUUAUCAACCUACAGAUGGAAUCAGUGAUUACCUUAUGCAGUAUUUUCAAAAUGCGCUACAUGUUUUCAGCUUAACUGACUACAAGACUAACGCAAAACUCUAUUUUCUUGUUUUUCUGCACAAGUUUUUUUUUUUUUCCUCCCCACAGAGCAAAAGCAUAGUAAUGCCAUUUUCUAAGUGCAGUGGCAAAGAUCAGAGCUUUUUAGAAGAGACACUCUGAAGAGACAUGUGGAUCUCACCUUUGUUCACACGAUGGAGGCGUCAUGUAAGGAAAAAUGUAAACAUUGCCACGCGUGAACAAAUAUGCACUUUGAUCACAUGACUGGAUAUACACAGCAUUGUGAAAAAGACUGAUUUUAUUAUUAUAUAAGGAGGAAAAUGUAUCAAGCAGUAACUGAAACAGAUUCAUUACUCUAAAAAGUGAAAGUAAUCUUUAAAAUUACAGGCUGGGCAUCCUUGACCUAACUGAACCUCAUUCAUGGCAAAUGGCGAAGUUCGAAACCUGUCUUAUUUUGACAAUUUUUGAUUGCUUGCUAUUUUAUCAAGGCUGUUAAAAGAAGGUUAAUGGGGAAUUACAGUCUGAAAAUAUCCAUGUUGAAAGAAACGAGUAACAGCAGGCAGCUAUCAAUACAGAAGAAAAAAAAAAAAUGUUAUAAUGAUAGCAAGAUGAAGUUAGUUCAAAGUAGCAACUGCAAAUUUUUAAGUAGGAUCAAUGCCAAACAAAUAUUUCUGGGUUUGGUGUUCUCUCCAGAUCUUUAAGUCAAGAUUUGAUAGAUUUCUGAAAGAAAAUCUGUAACUCUCAUUUAAAAUUAUGGAUACAGUACAAAAGCUACAAUAAAUGUUACAACGAAGUCAGUCUAAUCUUAACGGCUAUUUUUAACCCUAAAGAAUCGGCUCCAUUACAGUUUUAACUUUUCUUUAGUUCAUGUCUUUACCUCUCUGCAUAUAAAAUUAAUUUCUGUAAUAGUCAUUAAGUAAUUCCUAAAUAACCUCGGACUGAGUGAAGUCCAAUUACUCUUCACAUUGAAUUUGACUCUAAGAAACUCUCCAUUUUUUUCCCCACCUGUAGAUUAAGAAACAACUUUUUUGGGUUGAUAAACAGGCAUUAGCGUAUUUGAAAUUAAAUAGGCAGAUAUUUAAACACAAUAAGCAUAAAACUUUUUUAUGACACAUUCCUUUUUAUGGAGGAUUCCUAAUGGUAUCAUCCUUGUCAAAUACUGCUUACUCUUGGAUGUUUCCUCUUUGAAACAUGGUAAUGACUCACCAAAUGUGACUGCAAAGACAACUCGCCUAUGCACGGAGUACAACUAAGAUAUAAAUACAUAAAUAAAUAAAUGUACAGUUGGGAUUUAAGACAUUUCUACAGUUGAAGUUGGUUUCUUUUUCUUUCGAAGUAUGAACUUUUUACUUUUUUUCUCCUGUUCUACCAGCAGUUUUACAGAUCUUCUUUAAACAAGUAGAAAGCAAGCAGGUGUAGCUAUAAGACAACCUGA